rnacentral:lncRNA from 1 species
CCGCUCUAACUCACAACACCACUUUAUGAUGUGUUAACGUCACCCCUUUAUCAGACGGCCUAGUGUUCAGCUUACGCAAGCCACCAGAAACCUUUUGUUCAUCCUCCAAAGCUCUCAGCAUUGAACACUAUUGUGGAUCUGUACCUUGGCCUCAACUUUUAUAUUAUCACACUGGCCGAGCUAUGGAAGAUGAUGACUAUUAGAUUAUGGGU